UAUGUAUACCAGUGGAAUUCAGACACAAUUUUUACCACUAAAAGAAUAAAACAAAUCUUGCUUAAACUUUGUAAAAAUACUUUAACUCUUGUUAUAUUAGACAUCAAAUCUCUUUCUAUCCCUCACUUAAAUUUAAGUAAUAAAACCUUUAUUUAAAA